rnacentral:rRNA from 1 species
AGUGGCGGACGGGUGAGUAAUGCUUGGGAAUCUACCUUUAAGUUGGGGACAACCUAUGGAAACGUAGGCUAAUACCGAAUGUGGUCUAAGGAUUAAAGGGUGCCUCUAUUUAUAAGCACUUGCUUAGGGAUGAGUCCAAGUUAGAUUAGUUAGUUGGUUAGGUAAAGGCUGACCAAGGCGACGAUCUAUAGCUGGUUUGAGAGGAUGAUCAGUCACACUGGAACUGAGAGACGGUCCAGACUCCUACGGGAGGCAGCAGUCGGGAAUAUUGCACAAUGGAGGAAACUCUGAUGCAGCCAUGUCGCGUGUGUGAAGAAGGCCUUAGGGUUGUAAAGCACUUUCAAUAAGGAAAAAGGUUUAUGUAUUAAUAGUGCAUAGAUUUGAUAUUAUUUAUAGAAGAAGCACCGGCUAACUUCGUGCCAGCAGCCGCGGUAAUACGAAGGGUGCAAACGUUAUUCGGAAUUACUGGGCGUAAAGGGUAUGUAGGCGGAUAUAUAAGUUAGAUGUGAAAUCCCAGGGCUUAACCUUGGAACUGCAUUUAAUACUGUAUAUCUAGAGUUAGAUAGAGGUAAGUGGAAUUUCUAGUGUAGCAGUGAAAUGCGUAGAUAUUAGAAGGAACAUCAGUGGCGAAGGCGGCUUACUGGAUCAUAACUGACGCUGAGGUACGAAAGUGUGGGUAGCAAACAGGAUUAGAUACCCUGGUAGUCCACACCCUAAACGAUCUCAACUAGCUGUUAGCCAGACCGCUAUAUUAUUUUAUGGAUAGAUAUAGAGUGAUAUAGUGGUUUGGUUAGUAGCGAAGCUAACGCGUUAAGUUGAGCGCCUGGGGAGUACGGUCGCAAGAUUAAAACUCAAAGGAAUUGACGGGGACCCGCACAAGCGGUGGAGCAUGUGGUUUAAUUCGAUGCAACGCGAAGAACCUUACCAGCUCUUGACAUACACGGAACUUUCCAGAGAUGGAUUGGUGCCUUCGGGAACCGUGAUACAGGUGCUGCAUGGCUGUCGUCAGCUCGUGUCGUGAGAUGUUGGGUUAAGUCCCGCAACGAGCGCAACCCUUAUCCUUAGUUGCUAACAAGUUAAGUUGAGAACUCUAAGGAGACUGCCAGUGAUAAGCUGGAGGAAGGUGGGGACGACGUCAAGUCAUCAUGGCCCUUACGAGCUGGGCUACACACGUGCUACAAUGGUAAGUACAGAGGGUUGCGAAGCUGCAAAGUGGAGCUAAUCUCAGAAAGCUUAUCUUAGUCCGGAUUGUUCUCUGCAACUCGAGAGCAUGAAGUCGGAAUCGCUAGUAAUCGCGAAUCAGAAUGUCGCGGUGAAUACGUUCCCGGGUCUUGUACACACCGCCCGUCACACCAUGGAAGCAGGUUGCAAAAGAAGUAGGUAGUCUAACCUUAGGGAGGACGCUUACCACUUUGUGAUUUGUGACUGGGGUGAAGUCG